rnacentral:misc_RNA from 1 species
GAUGAAGAACGUAGCGAAAUGCGAUAAGUAGUGUGAAUUGCAGAAUUCAGUGAAUCAUCGAAUCUUUGAACGCACAUUGCGCCCCUUGGUAUCCCGAGGGGCAUGCCUGUUCGAGCGUCAUUUCACCACUCAAGCCUGGCUUGGUGUUGGGCGACGUCCCCUUUGGGGACGCGCCUCGACACGCUCGGCGGCGUGGCACCGGCUUUAAGCGUAGCAGAAUCUUUCGCUUUGGAAGUCGGGGCCCCGUCUGCCGGAAGACCUACUCGCAAGGUUGACCUCGGAUCAGGCAGGGAUACCCGCUGAACUUAAGCAUAUCAAUAAGCGGAGGA